rnacentral:rRNA from 1 species
GACGAACUGUCCUAACGUUGUUCGGAAUCACUGGGCUUAAAGGGCGCGUAGGCGGUCCGACAAGUCAGGGGUGAAAUCCUGCAGCUUAACUGCAGAAGUGCCUUUGAUACUGUCGGUCUUGAGGGAGAUAGGGGUGUGCGGAACUCACAGUGGAGCGGUGAAAUGCGUUGAUAUUGUGAGGAACGCCGGAGGCGAAAGCGGCGCACUGGAUCUCUUCUGACGCUGAGGCGCGAAAGCUAGGGGAGCAACGGG